UCUGGCAAUUCUAGCGCAUGUCACUCUUUGGCUUGUGUGACGAUGGAUGCGUUGUCCCAGUCAAAGUGGUGCCCUUCCUCAUCUGUAUGUAAUGUCAUAACCUUCAGUUU